rnacentral:misc_RNA from 1 species
AAAAUUAUUGAUCUUGUAGUUUUGAUCAUCAAUUUUACAAGGAGAUACCCUGUACAUAGGUGCUUCAUUCAAACUUACUUACAAAUGUAUAACAAUGUAUGCUAAGACCUUGUACAACAAAGAAGUCUCGUUACGUCCGGUCCCGUCGACUUGAGAACAACAAAAAGAUGAACAUGAGAGCACACUGAGAAAAUUAUUAUCAUUGCCUGUAAUAGCCACUCUGAUGGGGAGGAGGAUGAGGAUAUGGAGAAGGGGCUGUGUAAGGAGGCUGAGGCAUAGCUCCGGGUUGCUGUGGAGGUGCAUUAUAGUAUGGACCCCUCCAACCAGGAUAUGCAGGUUGGCCGUACUCG